ensembl:lncRNA LINC01821 long intergenic non-protein coding RNA 1821
AGAUGCAACAUAAAAAUUUCAGAGACAGAAGAAAUCUUCCUUUGAGGGCAGUGAUACACUUAUGUGAGAUUUUGAAAAGUGAAAAAUCAAAGGUGGAAUUGACCAGUAGAUGUAAAAGUACAACAAAUAAACAAAAAUGGCAAUGUUGAAAGUGAAACUGAAAUUCAACAGAAAUAAAAGAAAUAGCAGACUGGGGGGAUAUUGACUUUGACACCAUGAUGCCAGAGGAACUUAGUGAUGGCAAACUUAUCAAUAUAAAAUGAGGAUAUUGGUUGUCAACUAGGUUGUGUGGUGGUCCUUGAUCUUGUCCAUCAAGUCCUUUUUCCCAAAGGAUAACUGAAGAAGAUCACAUACAUUCCAACUUAUUGAGUCUGAUAGGUAUUCAUCUGAUGAGCUCCUCUUCAACUGAGGAUUGAAAUGCUGUUUUUCUUCCCUGGUACAAUGUUAAAGCUUUAAACUCUUGUCAAUGAUGUGAUGUUUCAUCUGCAAUGAUCUACACUAGAAAAAUAAAAAUGUAGUUACUGACAAAAAAGCAGGAUCACACAUAACAAUAUUAACUUUAAAUGUAAAUGGACUACAUGCUCCAAUUAAAAGACACAGACUGGCAAAUUGGAUAAAGAGUCAAGACCCAUCAGUGUGCUGUAUUCAGGAAACUCAUCUCACGUGCAGAGACACACAUAGGCUCAAAAUAAAAGGAUGGAGGAAGAUCCACCAAGCAAAUGGAAAACAAAAAAAGGGCAGGGGUUGCAAUCCUAGUCUCUGAUAAAACAGACUUUAAACCAACAAAGAUCAAAAGAGACAAAGAAGGCCAUUACAUAAUGGUAAAGGGAUCAAUUCAACAAGAAGAGCUAACUAUCCUAAAUAUAUAUGCACCCAAUACAGGAGCACCCAGGUUCAUAAAGCAAGUCCUGAGUGACCUACAAAGAGACUUAGACUCCCAUGCAAUAAUAAUGGGAGACUUUAACACUCCACUGUCAACAUUAGACAGAUCGACGAGACAGAAAGUUAACAAGGUUACCCAGGAAUUGAACUCAGCUUUGCACCAAGUGGACCUAAUAGACAUCUACAGAACUCUCCAACCCAAAUCAACAGAAUACACAUUUUUUUCAGCACCACACUACACCUAUUCCAAAAUUGACCACAUAGUUGGAAGUAAAGCUCUCCUCAACAAAUGUAAAAGAUUAGAAAUUAUAACAAACUGUCUCUCAGACCACAGUGCAAUCAAACUAGAACUCAGGAUUAAGAAACUCACUCAAAACCACUCAACUACAUGGAAACUGAACAACCUGCUCCUGAAUGACUACUGGGUACAUAAUGAAAUGAAGGCAGAAAUAAAGAUGUUCUUUGAAACCAAUGAGAACAAAGACACAACAUACCAGAAUCUCUGGGACACAUUCAAAGCAGUGUGUAGAGGGAAAUUUAUAGCACUAAAUGCCCACAAGAGAAAGAUCCAAAAUUGACACCCUAACAUCACAAUUAAAAGAACUAGAAAAGCAAGAAAAAACACAUUCAAAAGCUAGCAAAAGGCAAGAAAUAACUAAGAUCAGAGCAGAACUGAAGGAAAUAGAGACACAAAAAACCCUUCAAAAAAUUAAUGUAUCCAGGAGCUGGUUUUUUGAAAGGAUCAACAAAAUUGAUAGAUAGACCGCUAGCAAGACUAAUAAAGAAAAAAA